CGCUCGGCUCCAGCCCAACUCCGCCAGCUCCGCCGGCUCCAGCACCGCUCCAACCCGAUUCCAGCCGGAUUCCAGCCCGAUUCCAGCCCGGUUCCAGCCCGAUUCCAGCCCGGUUCCAGCCCAGCUCCGUCCCGGCUCCGGUUCUUCUCCGCCACGCCUCUCUGUCGACGCUGAGGAGCAGCUUCGCAGGAAAAUCCCAGAAACCUUUGCAAAAAGCUUACAAUGAAAUUUAAGAAGUUCUACGAUUUCGGCGCCAUUUUCGAGUGGAGUGAGAGUAUUGGAAAAGUUUGGCUGGAAGGUGCGGAGGACCUGUGCAUCAUGUUUUGGGUGUGGGGGCGCAUGGCAUCUGCAACAUUAAAAGACAAAACGUUCUCAACUGGGAAGAGAGGAAGAGGCUUAGUCUUUGGCUCUUAAAUCAUUUGGCCAAACCCUUCGCAGUUCUGAAGUGGGUGGGGCCAUUUUGACCCGUCGUGGUUCUGAAGUGGGUGGGGCCAUGGUAACCCUAAAGUAUUGAUUCUUUGUCUAUUGUAUCAGCGAAUGACCCUCUCUAGAAGUGACCAGACAUCUCUUUGUGCUCUCUUUUCGUGACCAUCGAUGGUUUUUUCCUCCACAAUUCCGUGUCCAUGUAAAAAUGACUUGUAAUAUAGCCAAGAAAAGACGGAAUUUUCAUUCCAACUUAAGGAGUGGGGCUGUUAUUAUUAAUGGCUUUAUUUAUCAUGACCUAAGCAAUGCAUAUGUUAGCACUGGAUCAUUAUCUGUUAUGUUAGGAAUUUUGUAUUUAGUUUAAUUACAUACUCUGUAUAUUUUAUUAAUUAAUUAAAAGGACCCAGCAUUCAUUGUACUAGUUUCGAAAAACGGACAUAAUUUU
ensembl:processed_transcript C430049B03Rik RIKEN cDNA C430049B03 gene